UUCCGGUUGAUCCUGCCGGACCUGACUGCUAUCGGAUUGAUACUAAGCCAUGCGAGUCUUUGUAGUAAUACAAGGCAGACGGCUCAGUAACACGUAGUCAACCUACCCUAUGGACGAGAAUAAUCUCGGGAAACUGAGCAUAAUUCUUGAUAGAUCAUAAUGCCUGGAAUGGUUUAUGGUUGAAAUGAUUCGUCGCCAUAGGAUGGGACUGCGGCCUAUCAGCUUGUUGGUGAGGUAAUGGCCCACCAAGGCGAUUACAGGUACGGGCUCUGAGAGGAGAAGCCCGGAGAUGGGUACUGAGACACGGACCCAGGCCCUAUGGGGCGCAGCAGGCGAGAAAACUUUGCAAUGUGCGAAAGCACGACAAGGUUAAUCCGAGUGAUUUCUGCUAAAGAAAUCUUUUGCCAGUCAUAAAACCACUGGUGAAUAAGGGGUGGGCAAGUUCUGGUGUCAGCCGCCGCGGUAAAACCAGCACCUCAAGUGGUCAGGAUGAUUAUUGGGCCUAAAGCAUCCGUAGCCGGCUUUGUUAGUUUUCGGUUAAAUCCAUGUGCUCAACGCAUGGGCUGCCGAAAAUACUGCAUGGCUAGGGAGUGGGAGAGGUAGACGGUACUCAGUAGGAAGGGGUAAAAUCCUUUGAUCUAUUGAUGACCACCUGUGGCGAAGGCGGUCUACCAGAACACGUUCGACGGUGAGGGAUGAAAGCUGGGGGAGCAAACCGGAUUAGAUACCCGGGUAGUCCCAGCUGUAAACGAUGCAGACUCGAUGAUGCAUUGGCAUAAUAGCCAGUGCAGUGUCGCAGGGAAGCCGUUAAGUCUGCCGCCUGGGAAGUACGUACGCAAGUAUGAAACUUAAAGGAAUUGGCGGGGGAGCACCACAAGGGGUGAAGCCUGCGGUUCAAUUGGAGUCAACGCCGGG
rnacentral:rRNA from 1 species